UGUAAAAAAGAAGCACACCUUUCUCAGAUUGUGCGUGCGGUUCGGGUGGAGCAGGGGUGUCGUGGCUGGCGAGUGGCGCGGGCGCGGCUGGAAUUGCGGCUAACCUAGGCGGCGCCGCGCCGGCAGCUUCAACGACGACGACGACUGGGCCUGAGGCCGGCGGCGAGUGGCGUGGGCACGGCUUGCGCCGAACGUAGGCGGCGCCGGCGACUUCGAUGACGACGACUGGAGCCUGAGCGAGGAGCAGCUCGACAAGCUCGUGCGGGACACCUACCGCGAGCUCGCCGAGGCCGAGGCAGCGCACACGACGCAUACGUCUCCGACACCUCCUCGCCGACGCCGCGCUGGAGGCAAUCGAAAUCCGCUCCCAGGCCAGCACGCACCCGUGGCUUGGCGUCGUCGACCACGUGACGUCUGCUCCCACCCCCUCGCCAGCAGCUCCUCCCUUGGCCGCGUUUUUGACCUCGCUGCCACCGUGGCCACCGACAUCGGCCAAACCCGUGGAUUUCUUCUUUCUCAUUUUCCCCCAAUUUUUCCAAACGAGGUCGCCGCCUUGCUGUGCCUGUACUUGCCGCCUGUCGCCGCAGACGCCACCCGGUAAGUCGUCAUGCUGCCUCCGAUUGGUUGCUGGAUGAAUCGAUGGAAUUUUGUUUUCUAUAUGCUCGUUUUUAUCCUUGUCUUGCGAUUAAAACUUGUUGCUGCUAUGAGUAGGCGUAGUUGAUUGCAUCAGCCAUGAGAAAUAUCACAUUGGAUCAAGUUGACUUGCACCUGUUUGAUGGAAUGCUCGUGAGAGUGUUUUUUAUUUUCUGGGUACACUGCAGGUUUGUUCUUUACAUCCUUCUCUGCAAGCUUGAAACUCUGACCAAUGUUACAAGAUUUUACUUUCUAUGGAAGUAUUUUAUUGAAACACUGAUCAAGUUGGUUCAGCAUUGGACGUUGGCAGCGCAUUGGAUUCGUUGGUGGCCGUCCUUUCAGACCGAGAACAUGCUCGGCGACCUCGUCCCCUUCAGAACCAAGGUCCAGCGACCGGGAGGUUCUGCAAGCUUGAUCUGAAUCCCUUUGUCACGCAGGUGUACAACGGCAGCCUCGACCGGCAGUUGGGGAUCACGGCGAGGUCCCCUUCACUUGCAGCAGCAAGGAGAAUUGCAUCACGCUGUUGCCUAAAUUAUUGCUGCGCUGCAAUUUGUACAAAUUUGUCCGACCUGUGCAAGGAGAAGUUCUGCAAAUCGCCACCUCGUAAUGCCCCAAAAGGUCCAUCACUCUGACUCCAUGAUUUGCUGUGUUUCCCGUCGGCAGUAGCUUGUGUUUGCCGCAGCAAUGCUUGGUUACUACCAGUUUCAGUGUAGAUUUAUUUUGAUUGCAAUGAGGUGGACAACUAACACUCUUCCUGGAUGUUGCUGAUUUUAUGGUUAAACCAACUAGUGAAGAAAAAAUAUUUUUUAUAUGAAAUCCCAUAGCUUGCUUGCUUCUCCAGUCAUAUGUACUUGUUUAUAUUAAUUGGUUAAUAUAGCUGAAAGAAUUUUACUGUAGGCUGAUAAGAAUCUAAUUUCUGAUGCUAUUAUGUUAGAGCAAGUUGCAGCUUUAUUGUUGUCCCUUUUGGGCUCAUUUGAAGUGCUAACCUGAUAUAAGCCUCUGAGAUAGAAUCCAAUUUUGUGUUUGAGUUCUUAAAGUCCAAUUUCUACAUGAUGUAAAAUGUGUUUUUGCGCUUACUUACCUACUGCGAGCUCACGGAGCGCAAGACCUCCUCCUUCCCCGCCUCCACCUCUCCCGCGACCUCGCCGCUCCCCAAUCGCCUGCUCGGUACCUCUCGACCCUAGACAGCUUCGGGACGCCCUUCUACGGAUUUGCUCCGCCAGCGAUGGCGACCGAACAUCCGUCGGAGAAGACGAUCCCGCCGCCGGAGAAGAAGGCGCCGCUUCUGAAGGUGGUUACCCUCUAGGCCCUCAAGCUGCCCAGAUUUGGGUGGACAAAAUGAGUGUGGCGUAGCCGGAUGAACUCAAUGAUAAGGAUUUUGAGGCGUCCUCGAGGCUCGGCCUCCUCCCUGUCUACGCCAGCGGCUGCUCGGCCUGGAGGUGGGCCGAACUUCCAGGCCUACAGCACAUAGACGGCUUGGCCUCGGCAACCAGGUGCUGGAGCUUGUCCGCGACCAGUUUAUCAAUCAAAAGUUCCUUCUGCUCUGCGGUGAGUUGAGAUCACGCCAUGAUUACCGUGCUUCUCAAGUGGAUAUGUGUUCUAGAUGCUACCAAAAUCAUGGUUCUUUUUAAGUGUAUAGGUGUAGGUGAUAUAGAUGCCAAUUAAAAAGAGAUACGGGACAUAUGUGCAGUCCGCCACCAAGGAGGAGCAAGAGUCAAACACGCAUCCUUCGAGAAGGCCUCGAGUAGAAGAAAUUGCAGGCAGAAAACAAGGUUCAAGUCAUAUGCCUCCAAAGGAUCCAUCGAUGCACAAGGCAAAUGUCACACCUCCCUGUCCCAUCGAUCUUCGGCAAGGUACUCCUACAGCCCAAUGAUGCUACACAGACGCACCAGAGCUCCCGAAAAAUCUGAUACCAAUCGUUGGUCAGCAUUUCAGUACGUUUGAUGAAGCAUUCAAAUUCUACAAUGCAUACGCCAAGCACACAGGCUUUGGUCUGAAGAGGAGCCAGCGCAACACGUAUCGUAGCUACAUACGAUGUACGAGGGAGGGUAAGUACACAACAAGUGUUCGUGACGGCGAACGGCAGCGUGACAGGGCACGUAAGAAAAUUGGGUGCAAGGCUCAUAUGGGACUGAAGGUGAAUGGUGAUGGUGGUUGCAUCAUAAAAAGCAUGCACUUUGAGCACAACCACCAACUGUCCCUCAGCCUGUCGAUGCUAGUUUUACUCCAUUCACACAAAAGAGUGAACCCAACCUUGCAGGACUACAUAAAAGACCUCCAAUUGAGCAACGUUAAGCAUGUUAACAUCAUGAGUUUGCUUACCAGGCUGAGUGGUGGCCGUGACAAGCUGGGAUGUCAUAAUAGAGAUGUGUUGAACAUGAAAGCGAAAAAUACACGCAAGGAGUCUGCGGAUGAUGUGCAAAUACUAUUCAAACUUUGAUGACAUGACAGCUGAAAAUGAGAACUUCUACUACGAUGUGCAUGUCGACGAAGAUAAUAGACUAAAUAACAUUUUCUGGGCAAACGCAAGCUGCAGAGGUGCCUAUGCUGAUUUCGAUGACUUCAUCACUUUCGACACUACGUACAAGUCGAACAAAUACCACUUACCCCUGGCGGUAUUUAUCAGCGUCAGUAACCAUUUGCUCUCAUCGAUAUUUGGUGUUGCAUUGACGGGUGAUGAAAGUGUAGAUUCAUUCAAGUGGGUGUUCAACACAUUCUUGAAAUGCAUGCGUGGGAAGCAACCAAUCUGCAUACUGACAGACCAGUGUCCAUCGCUGACGAAGGCUAUACCGCAGAUAUUCCCACGAUCUCUUCAUAAACUGUGCAGGUGGCACAUUAUGAGAAAACACAAAGAUUCGCUGUGAAAGCUAUACAAGCUGUUUCCUGACCUGAAGGAUCAACUGGCAGUGGUGCUGAACCAUCCGCUUAUGCCGACGGAGUUUGAAGCGACAUGGCAUGAACUGGUCAACAAGUACAAUCUUCACGAUGUCAACGUCAUGGUUAACCUUUGGAAUGAGAGGAAAACAUGAGUCUCCGCUUACUGGAAAGAUGUUUUCUGUGCACGCAUGACAUCUACGCAGCGAAGCGAGAGCAUGAACCAUGUGCUGAAGAAAGGAUUUGUGAGAGAACAACAUGAUCUCCACAUUUUUGCACAGCAGGUUAACAACUGCAUACAGACAAGGCGUGAGUCGGAAGCAGCGGAGGCAACAGCUUCUAUGGGAGUUAUGAAGCCAUUGGCACGAUAUGGCUUCGAGGCGCAAAUCCUAGAGCAUUACACUAGGGCCGUGUAUGGUGUGUUCCGGGAACGACAAUUCCAUAGCACCGGUUUCCGAAUUAAAACGUCUCCGCAUAAAAAACUGAGUUCCUUGUGCACCACUACAACAAGAGCAAAGUAUUUGCGUGGUCAAUGCACGAGUUUCGUGUGCUAGCGGACGAAGCUGUAGGCAUAUUUGAGUGUGAAUGCAAGUUGUGGGUAUUAUUUUUUGUCCUUUUUUGCGUAUAAUCUGUAGGAGAUAUAUAAAUGACGUG